UUUGCCUUUAUACUCAAGAGUUCAUGGACAAAAUACAGGAAUGGUCUGAAGAAAGGAAAACAAAAGUAGAGUUUUCAAAGUUGAUUUAUUUCAGUCAAAUUUAGGAGAAGUAGGUCUGAUUCUUCUAUUGCAUGUGGACUGCAUCUAAGUUCCUAUGUUACCAGAACCGCAGUGGGGAGAAGAAGCCAAAUUAAGGGCCCUCAUCAAAGUCAUAGCUUAAUGGAACCCCUCAUAUGAAAACAGCAAUGAAAAUAAAAUAACAAUCGGAAAUUCUGAAAAUGUACCAUGCUGUUGUAAGUCAUCAGAAUCAAGCUGCAGUUCUGGAGGUGAUACAGUAUCAAGAGAAAGUAAAAAACAACCAAUUCACAAAAUAAGUGCAAUGAACAAGGACAAAAAAGGAAGACAGGCAAUUUAAAAGACACAGUUGUUCUCAGUUUGUAGGAACAAAUUUUGCAAAGGGACUUUGGAUCAGCAUACAUCCUGUAAAAAUACAUAAAAAAAAUCCAUUGGGGUA